CGUGGUGGGAAUUUCAAUCUGUGAAUUAUCGUCAUCUUCAGAAAAUUUGUUGGUCGUAGAAAGAGAGGAAGCGUAUUUACUAACCAAAUCCUCAACAACUUUGCAUUUUUUGGUAUCUUUGUACAAAGAUUUGACAUCGACGAACACAGAUGGGAUUCCACGCUUAAGCUUUUUGCGCAAGUAAAGAUCUACAUGAGUUAAAAACUCAUCCCCUUCAAGCUUUUCUAAAGGUAGUCUCGUAGGGCACUCAGAUUUGGGAUACCUUUUAGCAAGUUGAGAAUAUAAAUUCAACCACUCAGCACUAUCCAAUACUUUACCACUGGCAUCCUCAUACCCAUACGCUCUUUGAAGAUUAUAAUAAUAUUGGUGAUUGUCUGGAUUUCGAUCAAGCAGAAGAUAUAUGGUUGAUUUGGCUUCUUCCAUUUUGGAAAGAUAAAGCUCGUACUCUGCCCGAGUCUCCAAAAACGCAACCCGAUCCAAUACCUUCUUUUCUAUUGACAGUAAAUGCUUAUAGGCAUCCUCAACACCAUCUUUUUUUAAUAUAACAAGGUUCAUGAAUAACAUGGCUUCGGAUUCUUCUUGGGUAUCAACGGGCACACCUUGAUUUAUAGUGGAUUCAAAUGCAUCCACUAUUUUAUAUGCACUAGCGUAUUCCCCUCGAAGAAAUUGAGCUACUGCUAAAGCGCUCCAAUUGGCACGUACUCCUGGAUUGUCCUGCAGCAAAGCAUUCCUAGUGUCUGCUAGAGCCUUGUAUUGACGAAGUUGAGAUUGGAGUAACGCCAAGUCACGCAAAAGACUCGAGUUGUUUUUCUCAAGCUUAUGAGCAUUAAUGUAACAUUUAGCGGCCUGUACAUAAUCUUUAUCGGCUCUGCUAAUUAGUCCGAAAAUGUGCCAACAAACACCGGAUCCAACAUCGUUGCGAAGACCAAGUCGUACGUUGUCGUAUCCUUCUUUGGUAUUACCUAAAGAGUGUAAUAA